UGGGGAAUAUUGCACAAUGGGGGAAACCCUGAUGCAGCGACGCCGCGUGAAGGAAGAAGUAUCUCGGUAUGUAAACUUCUAUCAGCAGGGAAGAUAGUGACGGUACCUGACUAAGAAGCCCCGGCUAACUACGUGCCAGCAGUCGCGGUAAUACGUAGGGGGCAAGCGUUAUCCGGAUUUACUGGGUGUAAAGGGAGCGCAGGCGGUGCGGCAAGUCUGAUGUGAAAGCCCGGGGCUCAACCCCGGUACUGCAUUGGAAACUGUCGUACUAGAGUGUCGGAGGGGUAAGCGGAAUUCCUAGUGUAGCGGUGAAAUGCGUAGAUAUUAGGAGGAACACCAGUGGCGAAGGCGGCUUACUGGACGAUAACUGACGCUGAGGCUCGAAAGCGUGGGGAGCAAACA
rnacentral:rRNA from 1 species